rnacentral:rRNA from 1 species
AGUGAACGCUGGCGGUAGGCCUAACACAUGCAAGUCGAACGGCAGCACAGUAAGAGCUUGCUCUUACGGGUGGCGAGUGGCGGACGGGUGAGGAAUACAUCGUAAUCUACUUUUUCGUGGGGGAUAACGUAGGGAAACUUACGCUAAUACCGCAUACGACCUACGGGUGAAAGCAGUGGAUCUUCGGACCUUGCGCGAUUGAAUGAGCCGAUGUCGGAUUAGCUAGUUGGCGGGGUAAAGGCCCACCACGGCGACGAUCCGUAGCUGGUCUGAGAGGAUGGUCACCCACACUGGAACUGAGACACGGUCCAGACUCCUACGGGAGGCCGCAGUGGGGAAUAUUGGACAAUGGGCGGAAGCCUGAUACAGCCAUACCGCGUGGGUGAAGAAGGCCUUCGGGUUGUAAAGACCUUUUGUUGGGAAAGAAAAGCAGCAGGUUAAUACCCCGCUGUUCUGACGGUACCCAAAGAAUAAGCACCGGCUAACUUCGUG